UACGUAGGGUGCAAGCGUUGUCCGGAAUCACUGGGCGUAAAGGGCGCGUAGGUGGUGGCUUAAGCGUGCGGUGAAAGCUCGGGGCUCAACUCCGAGUCGGCCGUGCGAACUGGGCUCACUGGAGCAUAGUAGAGGCAGGUGGAAUUCCGGGUGUAGCGGUGGAAUGCGUAGAGAUCCGGAAGAACACCGGUGGCGAAGGCGGCCUGCUGGGCUAUGGCUGACACUGAGGCGCGACAGCGUGGGGAGCAAACAGG
rnacentral:rRNA from 1 species